AUGUUGCUGACUGACGUUUUUGGAGAACUGUGUUAUACAGAGGUCUUCUUCGGGUACGGGACUGAGCCAGAAAAGAAGCAAUUGGCAAACCUACCCAAGGGUCAUGUAUUAACUCUGGGUCUUCACAUGUAUGGUUGCCUGGUGAUUCAGAAGGUGGUCGUGCUGAAGGUGUCCCUGCACUGCAAAGCGUGCGCUGGCAAGGGGAAGAAGCAGCUCGCCAAGAUGGAAGAGGAGCAGCAACAGCACGGGCACGGGCAGAGGAGCGGCAGCAGCAUGGGCAGAGCUCCACCGGCGCAGGGGAGAAGCUGCAGCAUGGGCAGAGCUCCACCAGCUCCACCCAGGCACGCGGCGACGACGCGCGGGGGCUCCUGA
rnacentral:rRNA from 1 species